AGCGAACGCUGGCGGCAGGCUUAACACAUGCAAGUCGAACGCCCCGCAAGGGGAGUGGCAGACGGGUGAGUAACACGUGGGAACGUACCCUUUGGUUCGGAAUAACUUGGGGAAACUCAAGCUAAUACCGGAUAAGCCCUUAUGGGGAAAGGUUUACUGCCGAAGGAUCGGCCCGCGUCUGAUUAGCUUGUUGGUGAGGUAACGGCUCGCCAAGGCGACGAUCAGUAGCUGGUCUGAGAGGAUGAUCAGCCACACUGGGACUGAGACACGGCCCAGACUCCUACGGGAGGCAGCAGUGGGGAAUAUUGGACAAUGGGGGCAACCUUGAUCCAGCCAUGCCGCGUGAGUGAUGAAGGCCCUAGGGUUGUAAAGCCCUUUCAGCGGGGAAGAUAAUGACGGUACCCGCAGAAGAAGCCCCGGCUAACUUCGUGCCAGCCGCCGCCGUAA
rnacentral:rRNA from 1 species